rnacentral:tRNA from 1 species
GAAGGUGUAGCUCAGUGGUAGAGUCCAUGCUUAGCAUGCAUAAGGUCCUGGGUUCAAUCCCCAGUACCUGUG